GUGAACGCUGGUAACGUGGAUACCGGCAUGCAAGUCAAGGGGGCCCGCAAGGGCAACCGGCGAACGGCUUAGUAACACGUAGGUACAUACCCCAAAGUGGAACAUAGCUCGUCGAAAGACGGGGUAAUUUUCCAUAGUCUCGCAAGAGUAAAGCAGCAAUGCGCUUUGGGAAUGGCCUGCGGCCUAUCAGAUAGUUGGCGAGGUAAUAGCUCACCAAGUCUAUGACGGGUAGGGGGCGUGAGAGCGCGACCCCCAAGAAUGGCACUGCGACACGGGCCAUACUCCUACGGGAGGCUGCAGUCGAGAAUCUUCCGCAAUGGGCGAAAGCCUGACGGAGCGACGUUACGUGAACGAAGAAGCUCUUCGGAGUGUAAAGUUCUUUUCUCUGGGAGGAAGUUAUUGACAGUACCAGAGGAAUAAGAGGAUCCUAAUUCUGU
rnacentral:rRNA from 1 species